GAUGAACGCUAGCUACAGGCUUAACACAUGCAAGUCGAGGGGCAGCAUUUUAGUUUGCUUGCAAACUGAAGAUGGCGACCGGCGCACGGGUGAGUAACACGUAUCCAACCUGCCGAUAACUCCGGGAUAGCCUUUCGAAAGAAAGAUUAAUACCGGAUAGCAUACGAAUAUCGCAUGAUAUUUUUAUUAAAGAAUUUCGGUUAUCGGUGGGGAUGCGUUCCAUUAGUUUGUUGGCGGGGUAACGGCCCACCAAGACUACGAUGGAUAGGGGUUCUGAGAGGAAGGUCCCCCACAUUGGAACUGAGACACGGUCCAAACUCCUACGGGAGGCAGCAGUGAGGAAUAUUGGUCAAUGGGCGCGAGCCUGAACCAGCCAAGUAGCGUGAAGGAUGAAGGCUCUAUGGGUCGUAAACUUCUUUUAUAUGGGAAUAAAGUUUUCCACGUGUGGAAUUUUGUAUGUACCAUAUGAAUAAGGAUCGGCUAACUCCGUGCCAGCAGCCGCGGUAAUACGGAGGAUCCGAGCGUUAUCCGGAUUUAUUGGGUUUAAAGGGAGCGUAGGUGGAUUGUUAAGUCAGUUGUGAAAGUUUGCGGCUCAACCGUAAAAUUGCAGUUGAAACUGGCAGUCUUGAGUACAGUAGAGGUGGGCGGAAUUCGUGGUGUAGCGGUGAAAUGCUUAGAUAUCACGAAGAACUCCGAUUGCGAAGGCAGCUCACUAGACUGUCACUGACACUGAUGCUCGAAAGUGUGGGUAUCAAACAGGAUUAGAUACCCUGGUAGUCCACACAGUAAACGAUGAAUACUCGCUGUUUGCGAUAUACAGUAAGCGGCCAAGCGAAAGCAUUAAGUAUUCCACCUGGGGAGUACGCCGGCAACGGUGAAACUCAAAGGAAUUGACGGGGGCCCGCACAAGCGGAGGAACAUGUGGUUUAAUUCGAUGAUACGCGAGGAACCUUACCCGGGCUUAAAUUGCAACAGAAUAUAUUGGAAACAGUAUAGCCGUAAGGCUGUUGUGAAGGUGCUGCAUGGUUGUCGUCAGCUCGUGCCGUGAGGUGUCGGCUUAAGUGCCAUAACGAGCGCAACCCUUAUCUUUAGUUACUAACAGGUCAUGCUGAGGACUCUAGAGAGACUGCCGUCGUAAGAUGUGAGGAAGGUGGGGAUGACGUCAAAUCAGCACGGCCCUUACGUCCGGGGCUACACACGUGUUACAAUGGGGGGUACAGAAGGCGGCUACCUGGUGACAGGAUGCUAAUCCCAAAAACCUCUCUCAGUUCGGAUCGAAGUCUGCAACCCGACUUCGUGAAGCUGGAUUCGCUAGUAAUCGCGCAUCAGCCAUGGCGCGGUGAAUACGUUCCCGGGCCUUGUACACACCGCCCGUCAAGCCAUGAAAGCCGGGGGUACCUGAAGUACGUAACCGCAAGGAGCGUCCUAGGGUAAAACUGAU
rnacentral:rRNA from 1 species